UCCUGAUCUCUAAUACCGGUACUACGUCCUUGCCAAGAAUUACCAUAGGCCGGUCUUUCUUUGAAAUAGUCCUCUCACGCAUAUUCCUUUACUACCAAAGUAAUGCAUAUCCGGGGACCUUUUCAACAUACUUCUUUUCCUCUAUCAAAAAGCCAAUACCGACGCUCGCUUAUCAGCUUACCAGUUCAAACGGGUUUUAAAGUAGGUUCUACACAUUCGAGAAGACCCAGGCGGAUUGGAGUGGUUGUGCGCCGGGGCAAUCUCUGCUUGCAUUUCGCAUUGGAAUUUCAAGUACUAAGACAGGGGAGAGAUCUUUAUAAGGAAGGCUUGCAUCUGAAAAUAGUAGUAGUAGUCUAAGGAGUGAUUUGUACUGGAAAAACCUGCCAAUGGGAGCAUAGCUGGUCUUUAUUGUCCGCUCACUUCCUUCAAUCAAAGCAAGGGUUGUCUUUCCAGGAACUAGCAAACCAAACAAGCAGGCUAGCAAAACUAGGAUAAAGUUUGAUCCACCACUUACACUGGAAGGGCAAGAACUAAUGCUUAUGCGUAUUCUUCCACGGCAUAUAGAUGGUUAACUACUCCAACUCGAUGGCUGAGAGAAAAGUGAAAUCCUAGCUUGGAUAAGAAUCAUACGCUGCGAAUGAGCAGACGAAUCGACCGAGGGCUUACACACAAGAACAGAACCUAACUCUACUUCUUUUUCCUCCUUUCCUCUUUACUGCCCCCGCUAUACUAUCAACAGGUCAGUCAAUAUCGCAUCACAUCACCUAAAAGACUGAUAUCCAGCUCCAUAUAAUCCAACAAUUGGGCUCUAUUCUCCUGAAGAGAAGACACUUGAACUUCGUCAUGUGCUAUUGAGCCUUUUGAACCUAAGUGCGGACAUAAAGUCUUAGCCAAUGUUUCUAUACUAUUAGGGAGUAGAGUGUAUGAAUCUCGAUUUGACAUGACAGAGAGAGACUGUCAUCGCCAUCUCUUUGGACAUGCAUGUGUUAAGCAAAUGGACUGAACUGGUUUCUUCAGCCCUUUUUCUAUGUGUUGGUGUUCUAUAUGACCGACAUAAGACUCAACUUGUUAGAUAUUAUGGAGGUUUAGUGAGCACCAUGCCGAAUUUCUCUACCAUUUUCUUCUUUUUCACUUUAGCCAAUAUGAGUUUACCCGGCACUAGCAGCUUUAUUGGGGAAUUUCUAAUCUUAGUAGGAGCUUUCCAAAGAAAUAGCUUAGUAGCCACAUUAGCAGCGCUUGGGAUGAUUUUAGGCGCGGCGUAUUCCCUUUGGCUAUAUAAUCGUGUGGUUUCUGGAAAUUUAAAACCUGAUUUCCUCUAUAAAUUCUCCGAUCUAAAUGGCAGAGAAGUUUCCAUAUUUCUACCUCCAACAGACCGACAAGGAAUGAAGUCAACCUUAGAAAGUAGCCGAUGGGAGGUUUGAUCGGUUAAUGUGGAAAGACAACCCUUGCUUUGAUUGAAGGAAGUGAGCGGACAAUAAAGACCAGCUAUGCUCCCAUUGGCAGAAAUAAGGAUUGAUCGGGUAGUCCCGAUCGGUCCCGAUCAGUUAAUCCCGGAAGUCAUCUGCCACAAUGUCGGGAGCAUACCUCAUCAAGUUGUCGCAUUUCAUAUUGUAGUCCUGAACAGUACCACUCCCUUGUUUUAGGCUAACGAAUUGCUGUCGAAGCGCUUCCCGAGACAUCACAUCUAAAUACUGAUCAUUGAAUUCUCGCUCGAACCACGCCCAAGGAAUGGUUGGAUUUGAACCAUCAUUAUCUCCAUUAUGUCUCUUCUUUGCCUCCUGCCACCAAAAAGGAGAAAGUUUUCUCCCUUUUCACAUAACCGAGAAAAAAGGAAAAGUUACCCUACUACAUGUAUUAGCUAGUUUUGUCUAGUCAACAUCUAACGCUCAUUUCACUAUGGGAUUUAUUUACUCCGAUUGCUUCUACUCUCUUACAGCUGGGUGCGCCUAUAAGGAAGACUUUUCAUAGAUUGACUUUGGGCAGGCAAGUUGAACUAUCCGGCUUCCCUUAAAGUAUUCACUUUUCCAGGAGCCGACUUACCAGUUAGUACUGGCACUUUUACAGGAACAGUACCAGAGACUCAUCUCGUAAGAAGACAUUUUCAAUUAGACACUACUAGUCGAGGACUGCGAACUCAACUAGAUAUUCUGCACAUUCCAGUUUACCUUUUUAAAUCUUUUUUUAACUCCCCGAGCUACUACUCUGUAGAUUAACUAGUGUCUCCGAUUGCUUGGAUGAACAGAGCUCUCUUCUCUCCCAAUAUGUUUAUUUGACGGAGUCUAGUGCGUAUUCAUUUUCUUCAAGUCUUGGAUUCAAAAGGUUUUUUCCGGUGUAGGAUUCUUCCUACCCAACUUUGGCCAUUGAAGAAUGAGUCUUUGCUUUGUCCCCCGGGAUCCACCACAGGUUGGGUUUGAGAGCCGUGUGAUGGGUGACUAUCUAGCACGGUUCAGAGAGCACGUGUAUGUAGUCUGCGCUGGUGAAUACCACACGUGCAAGUUUCCCUGCAUGUGGCUCGUCCGUGAUAACUUCUUCGGAUUUGCCUGAACUAGCGGACCGAUCACUAAGUGGUUGCUUUCGCUGAUCGGCGCUAGUCUUUCCUGCUGUGAAUUUCCCAGGUCGAGAGGGGCCCUUUCCUUCUACCUUACUGAACCCAUUCACCAAUGAUUGGAGCCCUUUCACUAGUGGUUACUCCCGAUCCGAAGCACCCCUUUUCCAUUCAUAGAGAAAUCCAAUCGUCAAAAUCAAUAAAAAGGCCAUCAUGGACCAAGAUCCAAACAGAUCAAUCUUGUUAGGAGGUACUGCCCAAGGAAAAAAAAGGUGACUUCCUGAUCAGGGAUAAUAAAUAAAAUAGGAACCGGAUAAAAUCGUAUAUCGAAACGACUUCUGGCAUCACCGGAGGGAUUGAAACCACGUUCGUAGGCCGACAAUUUUUCUGGAUAGGUCGAACUAUUGGAAGCAAAUGGAAAAGGAACACCGAGUGGAAUCAAAGAAACUAGCGGACUGAUCACUAAAUAGAUACAAAUAGGUGCAAAUUCCGACAAAAAUGCACUUUCAUAGCCAUUUAUCGUGAUAGCGUAACUGCCAAAUCAUCCAAGUAAGGAAAUCGAUAAGCACGAAGAUUUCUCUCAAAGACGAGAAUAUCAUUCAGUCUUGAGAAAUGCAUGUGAAUGAGGAGCCGGUAUAAAUCGUAGGAACUCUUUGGAAGAACGAAUAACCACUGGGAUAAAAUGCCCCAAUGGAGCUUACGUUCUGAAUAUAUCCUCCUUGCUCGUAAGCAGGAAAGAUGAUAUUUCUCCAAACUGAAAUUAACAUAAGAUCAUUGGUUCACGAAGGGUAGAUUUCGCAGAUUUGACUGAACACAGAUAAACUAUAAACGAAAAUAGAGAACUGGAUGCGGUUAAGCAUACCACUUCGGAAAAGUGGAAAGGCACGGUGUUAAACCAUAGGCCUUUAACGGAACUCGAUCACUUAUUAGACCGAUAUAUGAACGGCAACCUCUUUAGCUUUUCCACUCCCUCACCACACCAACCACUGUGUGAUACUGAACACCCACACAAUCUCGAUUUAAAAGAGAGAGACUGUAAGGCUAGAAUUGGUUCACACAUAUGUGUGGGGGCCGGUCCAAUCACUCGGUAGAUCACGCUAUUAUGUCACCUUCAUUGAUGAUGCGACUCGGAAGGUAUCCAGCUGUUACGAACUAUCAGAUAGUCAAGAAUUGACAGGAAUGAAGGGAAUUGAUUUCAGGGAUCAGAUAAAGAGGGAAUUUAUGAAAUAAGAGUUACGAGAACAACUAGUCGAACGGAAGCAUUAGUUUCUCUACGAGAUGGAGAUGGCUCAUUCUCUAGUUUUCCUACGAGAUAUAAGUCAGUUUCUAACGUACUUUGAAGUUCAGGAAGGAGUUAUUAAUUAAGACGAAGAAGAACCCUCGCUUGGCUUUGUCCCGAACCAAGGAGGCAUGAUGGCGGGCGCGUGCGUGUGCCGACUGCAGAGACUACAAGCCGACGCCGGAAGCAUCGCUUUCUUUCUUCUCCCUCCAUUUUAUUCACUACUACCGCUUCUACACAUAAAUCAAAGAAGCAUUGUGGAAUAGUGGCAUUUCAUUAAUGUCGAAAAUGUUCUUAGUGAAAGGGUUGCCUUCCUUCUUUUCAAUAAGAAGAAGUAUUUGAAAUGAAACAAAUUCCUCUUCAUUCUGUUGUGCUCAGCGAAGGAACUGCGUAAGCAUACUUUUGCGGCACCAUUGGCCGAAGCAGACCUGGAAGCUGAUCUGCGAGUGAAUGAAAUUGAACGAUUAAUAUCGCCUUUCAUGCUAAAAUCGGACGAUUUCGACCUUACGUUCACGAUACUCCUUCCUGUCCUUGCGAUGUUUGGUUAAGUGUUAUCAAUCAGCUUUACUCUUCUUCCAGCAUUCUUCUAAGGUUUGCCUCUAACGAUGGUUGAAUAGCUCCUGUUGUUUUUAUUCCAUUGAAUUGAUUUCAUGAACUUCCCUCAAGCUGAAACCGGAACGGGAUUGUCAUUUAGCUUCAAUUUCUUCAGUCUCACAAGCGGGUCCGCAUGCAACAAAAGAAAUUGUAUUUGCCUACUACUCCGACCUCAGGAAUGCAAGCAAGCGAGGCCAGAACAAGGAGUGUCAAGAAAAACAGUAGCCGUUUACUCACAAGCUAACACGAAGCACGAAACACAUGGAUUCUCUGAGAACCGGACUGACCCAACCAAGCAAUCACUUGAGCCAUUCACACCUUGGAAGAGCUAUUCAAAGGUUUUCUGGCUGACUAUGAGGACACCUCUGCAUCCCAGGAGCAGACCGCUCCCCCGGAAUCUGUGGUCAGUCAAGAGCGGCAUCCGAAUCCCGCUCCGAUUCAACCUUGACCCCAGGGAUCUCCUCUCCCCAACUACACUAGGCUCAAGGUGGAAUAACGAAAGGAGGGUGCGUGCGAUAGCUAACCGAUUGAAGGAAAUUCCUCGCCUAUCUUAUUCUUUUUCAGUUCCGAUCAUCAUUAUACGAUCCAAGUCGUGGAAAAGCCGAGUGGGAAAGCCGAAACCGAGGUAACUUAGGCGUAGGUCAAAGCACGGGCAUGGAAAAGGGAUUAUAUGGCGUGCUGGGCUGGAUGAAAGAAGCAACUACGCCCCUGGUACAUUUCAACGCCCAUGAAUUCUAUAUUUCAGCAGUAUCUGAGGCCAUAGCUCUCAACUCAGCUUCAGCACUCGAGCGGGACACUGCAGUCUGCUUCUUGGUUUUCCAAAGGUCCGGAGGAGCGGAAGAGUUUAUAGUCGAGAAGGGUCGGGCAUUAGCAAAUCCUUCAAUCCCAACUCUUGAAAAGAAGCAUUUCCUCCUGAUUGUCCACCUUUUCGGAGAAAGAAGCACAUCACUUAUACGAGAUUCUGAAAUGAUUGUUAUCUCUAGGCACAUCUUAUGGGCGGAUGUUGCUCCUCGGAAAACGCGUAUAGUAGUCUCAUUGGCCUUCGUCGAUGGGACAAACGCUCCAGUGUAUGCGUUACAAGGCAACUAGCAUGUUGGAUUAGAAGUUCGUGAAAGUAUGUUCUCAUUUUUCGUUGGAACAACCAACCAUUUUCUUCUCCAAGUUGAGGUUCAGGGUUCGGCGGGGUGUGGCUUGUGGAUGGCUCUCCCCGAUCUGGAACAGCCCCGAAUACGUGUUCCAGGGGAACUUCCGGAAUUGAAUAAGGGUCAAAACGGGGCUGUUCCCCUUGCGGCACCUCUCAGUUCGGAUUGUUCUCUGCAACUCGGGAACAUGAAGUUGAAAUCGCUAGUAAUCGCGGAUCAGCAUGCCGCGGUGAAUAUGUACCCGGGCCCUUCCUUUGUUCCUCUUCCUUCUGCGCAGAUACUUUUGAUCCACUCCUUUCCUAUACCGCGCCCUCUGCCUAUUACGGUCGAUACCCAGAAAGUUGCCGACUACUUUUUUUCAUAAGGGGGGAAGCGAAGCUUAGUGAGCUUAGAGCGAUUUCCUCACAAAAAAAGCACGAGCGAGAUAUUCAUCCUUAACAGGGAUCUCAAUUGCGGGAAGAAGAUUUUUUCUUCAGGAUGGAGCGCAUCAGAUAUUAACAUUUUUGGAUUACUUUUUUCGGGGUUAAUCUGACCUUCUUUCCCAUGCAUUUCUUAGGGCUUUCGGGCAUGCCACAUCGCAUUCCAGAUUAUCCAGAUGCUUACGCCGGAUGGAAUGCUCUGAGCACUCUCAACGGAUCCUCCACGCGCUGCGCUGGGCAUACCAUAGUUCUUCCGUGCGUCUUUAUCGUGGCGGAAACAGAACAAGAGGGAAAGACCCGGCUGGCUCAUUCCAUUGAUAAGCUCAUCGGGCUGCUCGUCGUUAGGAAGAGAAAGUCCUACUGCUGUAACCGCAACAUCAAGCAAGUAGGAUCGGGAUUCAGAUGUUCAAUAAAUAGGUUUGUUAGAAGAGACAGGAAUUUAUUCUUUAUUAGUGCAUGCCUUUUUUUUUGUGAUUCGAGCAGUUCUUGUCACGAGAUGAUGGGCCAGAGAAAAGUUUGAUAGGAAAGGAAGGUGGGGCACUUCGUUGCUGGGCUGGAAUAGAAACUGACGUAUGGAGGACUUGUGAGAUCUUUCACUCUUCGACAACGAAAGCCUUGAGGACGUCAGCGAUGUGUUAUAGGGACGUCAACGAAAGCUAGUAGGGAACUGCAACCAGAGAGAGAGUUCUAGUGAGUCCAGACUCUUUCUUUCGUUCAUCAAAGCGAAGCAUGGCUGCAAUCCCAAACUCAUCCUUUUUUCCGCGAGCAAUCUACGUUUGUGAUCUCGUAUAUUUCGCUUCUCCGACAUCUUACUUAGUUUCCCCCUCAUAUUUUAGCAAAAAGCCGCUCCACAGUAGUAAAGUCUCAUCUUUUGUAUUGGCCGAAGUGACAAUAGUCACAUUACAAAGCAGAGCCCUCGUGAAUACACGUACCAUUAAUGAAGGAACAGCUAGUACUAAUUAUAUGAGGGAAUACUAAUUAUCUAUUCUUAUGUAUUCUCUCACAAUCACUCCUAGCAAUAAGUGAAAAGGCGGCUAUCGAUACUGUCCCAACAACCUCCUCUCAAUUGAUCCCUCGUUACUGCCCAUAGGAGAAGUAAUAGGUAGGGAUGACAGGAUUUGAACCCGUGACAUUUUGUACCCAAAACAAACGCGCUACCAAGCUGCGCUACACUCGUGAAGGUAAUGAAAUUAUCCGAUCAGCUUGCAAAUGGAGUCCUGAACUAGCCAGGUCUCGUUCUUAUAUGCUACCUAGAAUUAUUUAGAACUUAAAUCUUUAAGCAUGUGCUUAGUCAAGGAGGAAACUACUAAAGAACAAAGAAGUCGUCUUUGGUCAGUGAACCAACUUUUGCCGAGCCCCAUUGCCAACUCUAAAUUACAUUCAUUUCACCAGUCCGCCAAUCCAAUUAGGAUUCCCAUCGGUUGCAUCGCUCCUGCUCGCAGUAGUCGUUUCUUCUCCGGUGAAUCAAUUUCUUCUAAACAGAAUAAGGGCGGCAUCCUGCUCUCGACUAUCUCUGCCGCGGAAUGGGAUCGCUUGCCAGCUAGGCCCUCUAGAAAAAAGUUGGAGCAACAUUGUAUGAACUCUCGGGUUUGGAACAGAUAAGUUCUGUACGGAUAACAAAGAAUAGAAAUUGGAGAGCAGGUGCCCUUCCCUGGUUGUUACCUUCCCAGCCCCAAAGGAAAAGCCCUGAUCAUUUGAAAAAAAAGAAGCCAUGCAUGCCGACACGUUUUAACAGAUCAGUAGCAUACUUCUCUUGAGUCAAGAUAAUUCCAUCAUGAACUUUAUUAACUUCUAUGCCCAAGAAAUAGUGCAACGCACCAAGAUCCUUAAGGGCAAAUUCUUCUUUCAAAUCUUGAAGUAAUGCCGAAGUUGCUUUUUCACAAGAACUAGCAACAAUGAUGUCAUCAACAUAUAUCAACACAAAUAUGGAGAUUGUACCUUUCUUGUAAAAGAAGAGCGAAGCAUCUGCUUUUGACGGUUGAAAUCCAAGCCUAGCUCGUUAUUCUUUGAGAUAUGGAUAGAGUCUCGCUUCGGGGCGGGGGAAGCAGCAAGCGUAGGCUAAAAAGAGGUGGGUCGGUUUAGUCAUCAGCUCAAGAGGACAGGGGAGAGAUAGGAGACAAAAAGAGGCAAAGUGAGGCCCGCCCAAGCAAGUGGUUUGUUUUUGAGAGAGAAGUGUUUUCUUUGGAAAAGAAGAGCUCUUUCUAAGUUGACUUGCUCUGUUCGUCCGCUGUCAGAUCAAAACGGGUAGGGAUCGGCCCAGCCUAGAACAACUCGCUUCUCAUAAAAACGAAUCCCUUUGUGCCUGGAAGAAAUGCAAAGGGGAAUGCUGGGUCAGAGCCAAAGAAUGUGAACUAUACAAGUUCACAAUACCCUUUGAUGAAAUGAAAGAAAGGGUUCCGGUGUAUAGAGAGGGCCUGCGGACGGCUGUCCGAAGUGCAUGCAAUGACGGGCUCGGAUAGGAUAGGGUUGUGCGUGCCGGGCCCUUCGGGUGUCCAUAUUUUGGCCGACCCAUCCUAGUCUUUUGCGACACAGCUGGUUUACUUAUUUUGUUAGGUCUCGACUUCUCCGCUAUGAUCUCCCCAGUAGUUCAUAUAGGAGCUAUUGCCGUUUCAUUCCUAAGCAAGCUGGAGCACCUUUCACUCUCGGGCAUAAAGGCUUUUAUCCAAUUCAUUCACAGGAAGGGUAGAAGGAGCUUCAAAGCUUUUAGCCGGCGUUGGAGCUCAGACGGUGCAGUUAGUAUUGACCACUACCGCCAAGUCCAUAAUUAAAAAAUUGAUGAAGUCCACAUAAUGGAGCUCAAAAGCCGAUUAAAAAAUCUACUUUUUGAGCAUCUUGAAACCGCACAUAAAAAAUAUUAUGAAUGAAUCACCUUACAAUAACAUACGAGAGACAGCUUUCGAUUUUUUCGAACAACAAGUCGAACCCAAUGAACAAUUCCAUUCAAAGGAAUGUUCUAGAGGGGGCCCUUUUCCGCUAUAUUCGCGAUAUUGAACAAAAUGGAAGAAAUUCUUCACGAUUUCUAGAGUUCCGGGAUUACUUCACGGAAGAUCGGGUUAAAAAAUUCUAAAGCUUUCGUCUCAAUUCAUAUUUAGCCGCGAGCAAUCUACGUUUGUGAUCUCGUAUAUUUCGCUUCUCCGACAUCUUACUUAGUUUCCCCCUCAUCUUUUAGCAAAAAGCCGCUCCACAGUAGUAAAGUCUCAUCUUUUGAAUUGGCCGAAGUGACAAUAGUCACAUUGAACCCUCGAAUAUGCUCGAAGAUCUCGAAAUGAUCUUCCAGUUCCGGGGAGAAUUCGCAAAACUCCGUUUCCAUAAAGAAUGCUAAAUGACAAUCUGAACCUACUUGCUUACAGGAUCUUUAAGAAAACUGUGGACUUUUGCACCUUUCUGUCUAGCUUGAGUUAUCUUUUAGUUCUCUCCCCUCGGCAAAGUGGAUAGGAAAGAGUCUUGCAGGUUGAUCAACAAGUAAAUCCUCCCGGAUAUGAAAAGACAAGAUCAAUAUGUCAGCUAGCUUACUAAUACGGCAGCUGCUUAAACUCAUGCUGUACCUACAUAUCUCAUUUGGCUAUCCUUACCUAUUGGCUAUCCCAGGUGACCUUACACCUAAUGGACUAAUGCCAAGCUUGAAACUCCUAUGUAGAGGGAGCUAUCUCGCCUAUGUUUACGUUGCAAUGCUACUCCUCUGUUCUGUUUCUAGUGCGGUUAUGUGUAUUACAAGUUUUAAUAAGAGCGCACUACUCAUCCCAUGGGAGAUGGAGCCAUAGAGAAAUCCAAUCGUCAAAAUCAAUAAAAAGGCCAUCAUGGACCAAGAUCCAAACAGAUCAAUCUUGUUAGGAGGUACUGCCCAAGGAAAAAAAAAGGUGACGUUAUGGUAUUGACUACGAAGAGACUUUCAGUCCUGUAGUCAAGGCGGCCACAAUUAGACUAAUAUUGUCACUAGCAGUCGAUGACAUAGAUAGAGCCUCCUUCUUUGAUCCAUUCAUUGAUAACAAUCAAUAAACAUCUUCAACCAAUCCAAUACAAAUACUGAAAAAGAAGCAGUCUACCAACUUUUCUUUCACAAGGCCGCAGGCGCAAGGGAUGAGCGUGAAAUCCGUUGCUUGUUCUUUCGGUAGCCUUCUUUCAUUUCCGAAUUAGCUUGCGAGCAGUCCUUGCAUUAGUAUGAGUUCGUUGACCGCAUAAGGGCGAACAAAACGGAAUGUACCGGAUUUUUAGCACGUACAACCAUCAAACCAGAGACCAAAGCAGGGCUCGACAAAACUGAAAGUAUCAUGGUACGUCGUCCUCCCUUGAAAUGGAACUUGAAUGCUGGAGCAAGAAGACGCAUUCAAGUCGAUCUUAUUGCAUCACCCACACCUAAUUACAACAGUUGAAUGCUGUAUUUGCAUUUUGAUAUUGUACAUAGCUAUUUACUUCUAUUAUAAAUGUACCCUUGGUCGGAACUAGUUUUUUCGCUUUUUUAGCCGAUUUUUUACCUUUUUUGGACCCAUUCUAUAAAUGGAUGGAAGAAAUUAAACCAAUUCUUUCCCGCCAUAGGCGAAAAGUACUAAUUUUUAAUUCGCCUAAGGAAUUGGCAUUUUUCCGGGUUGUUUUAAAAAACAUUUGUUCCAGCCAUAGCGAAAAGUACUGAAAAUUCACUUUCCCUCGUAAAAAGGAAAAAACUGGGUGCAGAAAAAGGAAACUUUCUGUCCAGUCUGUGGCAAAAGUAAUACUUUUUCCAUUUUCCUUCGCGAUCGACCUUUCGGAUUUUAUAAACUAAGGAACCUGGUGAAAAAAGCAACCCUAUUAUUCCUGAGCAAAAGAAAGCUUACUACAGCACGGUCUUACGUCCAGGAUUGGAACAUUCCAUCUCUUCUUGUCCACUGGUAUAGAAAGAAUAUGCAUUUUCUUGACUGCUUAUUCAACGCCCUGCCGACUUGGAUACUGCUGGCUCUCUUGCAUUACGUGAUAGAAAUGAAAUGACAGAAGAACAAAGCAAGGGCUUUCAAUGCGCGAAAUCCGUUUCGAGUUAGAGUGCGAAACUUCUUGCUGCAGCCGUUUUAUUCGCUGCCAAUUGCACAUCAGGAGAAGAUGUCACUACAGAUCCUGCAACCUCAAGAGGGAGCAGCCUGUCCGUCCUAUUUAAAAGACUUUGGAUUUUUUUCUCCGGGGAUCGAGGUCUCAUUAGCCGAAGAAGACCCAGGCCAAUCCACGUGGCCUCUUUGACCAACGUCAGCGACAGAGACAUAGUAAAUUGGUCCGCGGGCAUCGCGAUAAGUCCUCUGUCCUACUACAGGUGCUGCGACAACCUUUACCAAGUCCAAACGAUUGUCAACUACCAGAUCCGCUGGUCCGCUAUAUUCACCCUAGCCAGCUAUCUCCUUUAUGAGUUUCUUCCUUUCUGAAAGUCACCACAGUGGAGAGUUACUAUCGACUUUCUCCAUGUGCCACUCGCCAGGGUUGAGUUGAGGGGGCAGCCCGUGCGCUAAUUGGGCUUCGAGGUUGGCUAUACGCGAAAAAAGCUCGCUUUCUACUGAGCUGUCCUAAACUGUUCCAGAAUGUUAUUUGUUUCAUAGGAAGAUUCCAAAAGCACAUUGUGAUGCCGAAAGAAUCUUCGUCGCCCUCAUUCCGUAGUUGAGUUCUUUCGCAUUUCUCGUAUAGUUUUUCGUGGAUUAGCAUCUCGAGGUUCUUUGAUGGGCAUAAAGAAAUUGUCUUGCUAGCAACCACCAAACCAAUAGAACAAAGGUUAGCUCUGCAGCUAGUCCACAUCUAUUUGUGCAUUCAAUGCUGCCAUUCCCCCGGCCCCAAAGGACAAGAUUGAGUCGCCGCUAUCACUUUUUUUGGGGGGCCAAUCCCGCGAAGAGUUAUGGAAAGAUUUUAUAGCUCGUCACAAGAAAGGAUUGAUGGUCGAGUCCCCGUGCAUGAAGUCAGUGGAUUCGAGUGAACUGACCGUACUACAAAUCGACAUACUUGAGGAAGCUUCUUACUAAACCAAAGAAAGGGCAGCUCCAGUUGUAUUGUCGAUUCCCUUCUCCCGAGAGCUUUCACACUCUGGGAUGGGAGUCCCUUCCAAGACUUGACCAAAAGCUUAUCUCUUGAAUCUAAAUUUAACAUUUUCCAAAACGCGGCUAGACCGAGGCAGAGCAAGAAUCGAGUUCCGUUAAAGGCCUAUGGUUUAACACCAUGCCUUUCCACUUUUCCGAAGUGGUAUGCUUAACCGCAUCCAGUUCUCUAUUUUCGUUUAUAGUUUAUCUGUGUUCAGUCAAAUCUGCGAACUCGACUAGAUAUUCUGCACAGGCCCUGGUGGGUUCUCCAUAGCGGAAGCAACCUCUGGGCCUUCCACAAAAAAAAACGAAAACAAACCAGAGAAGGAUCCAAUUAGAGUAGAGGAAAAAGCCUCCCUCCUCCUUCUGACAAUAUAAAGUCCCAAAAAAAUGAGGGAAAUAAAAAUAAAAAUAAGGUAAGGUCUAUCGGUCCACAAACUGCAGCCCAGGACGGGCGUCGUCAUCUAGGCGUGACUUCUUGUUUUGAUCUCCCCUACGCCUAGGACGUAGUCUGGGCCAAGAGCCAUAGUUAGUUGCUGUUUCCAUUUGGUUCUUCUUUCUCGUUGUUGAUACCGGCAAGACCCGAAUAGAAGAAGAGCAGUCGUCAAUUGAUUGAAAGUGGAUUGACGGCAUUCAUCAGUUGAUUGAAAAUGGACUUUUCUUUUAUGAUCGAGCGAGGUCCGUUUUUGGGCUUAAAAGUCCUUGUAAGCUUAUGCCUCAUCAUGGUUGGGAAGGUUAUAGUAGCUUCAGUCAUUGGAAUUACUCUAUUUCUAUAUAUAGGCCUUAUCCUUUUUGUUAUUGCGUUAUGGUAGAGGGAAAGAGAAAAGAAAGAAGAGAAAUUGGGCCAUGUUUCCCGAGAGAGACUGCCUUCUCUCAGGCCAGCAGUCUUAUACUUAUAGUCGACUGCUCUAUGACGAUCUGACCUCUUUCCUGGGCUCUGCUCGCUCGUCUACGCUCCUACCAAUUCAAGAGCAAUUCAAAUGCUUUGAUUGCUUAUCAGAUAAGAGGUAAAAAUAUUCUUCAUUCAUUUAUUUUUUUAAUGCCAAAUUUCAUUCAAAUCCAUUCUUAAAAAGGCAUAGUAGAGAAAGGCGGACCAGGCAAUCUCUGAGUUGAAAUCGAUCCCAGACAUCCAUCUCUUUCAAAAAGUUCUAAAGGCCGACUACUACAGGGUGCGUGCGCUGGGACUGAUCGGGACGACCUUGUCGGUCCUCACAUUCACGGAAUGAAGUCAACCUUAGAAAGUAGCCGAUCGGGACGAUCAUGCGUCUCAAGAGGAGAAGCAUGGACUGUUGCUAGCGCUCAUAAAUAUCCUUAUGACCCCUGAAGAUGGAGUUGUUUAGUGAAAAAAGGCCCAGCAGAGAGAACAGUCAAGAUAACUAGCGCGGAGUCCGCUUGGCAGGCGGCAGGAGCUGCGGGCAAGUGCUUGCUUGGUAGGCCAACAGCCCUGUGAACCGGGCGGGGCACCUCCGGUUAUAGAUGCCCUAACAAAACUUCAUAAGAAGAUAUCGCGAGAAAUAGUUGAGGAUCGAACUCUAUCUCAAAAGAGAAAUCGAUGUUUUACUACCAGUCACAAGCUUUAUGUUCGGCACAGUACUCAUACUGGAACUUACGAGCAAGAAUUGCGGAUAAGGGAAAGCCCGCUAUAUUAUAUAUAGUAAUCACCUGCCAAAAGGAAAGCCUGACCGAUAAUAAUAAUAGGUCUAUGCGCCGAACAAGCAAUGGUAUAUUAGAGAUAGUAAGGAGUUGUAUACACGGGGGUAUGCAUUCAUGUCACGCUUUCUGUGUGAUAAGAGGUUGCUAGCUAGCAAGUAUAGAAACAGGAGAUAUGCGUAGUUAACAGAAGCAAGGGAAUAUGCGUGAGUUGAUUUGAUAGUUUUUUUGAGAAAAAGCAAUUUCAUGAAGUUGGCCUUAGGUGUAAUAGGACUCCCAGUUACUGCGCGCGAUCGUAUACUGAGGUGCUCCCCGUCGGUUGUUGGAACGACGCGAGCCCCAAAAUAAUGUGACUUGGUCCCAAGGUAGAAAGUGAAGAACACUGAACAGAGCUGAAGCUGCAUGAUUAUGAAAUCCCCCAGGGCGCUUCUGAAGCCUCUUUCUAGUCCAAUCCCCCCACAUCGCGUAUAAAGGGAAUCGAACCCAACUCUUCCACUUGCCGCCAAUGCGGAAGGAUGCCACCAAAAAGAAAGGAGACUGAUCUUAACGUUGGCGUCGGUUUUUCCAAGAAAAGUUAGAUUUGAUUUGUCUUUUUCAUGCGGAACAGAACCGUAUUAGUAAGCGGGCCAGUUAACAGAAGCAAGGGAAUAUGCGUGAGUUGAUUUGAUAGUUUUUUUGAGAAAAAGCAAUUUCAUCUCAAGGGAAAGAUCAGAGGAGGAGAAGAAUGAAGGUGUGGGCGGGAAGGAGGAGGCAAGGCCCCCUCAAUGUUUAUUCGACUACUCAUUACGGAACCACCGAUUGAUCCGAUUAGACUUUCCGUGGUAUGUUGAGUUCUUGAAGCAUUGCCGAUAUCGAUAUAUAUUUCUUUGCAUGGGACAGUAGCCUUUUCUGCGGCGGAACAAGCUAAGAAGUGCAGGCGGCUCUUAUUUGAUAAGAUAAGGCAGAUGGUAUGAUCAAAUUCACUCUUGCGCUUUUUUUUGUAUUGAACGCAUGGCGUAGCUAGGACCCCUCCAAUCAUGUUUGAGCCUAUGUUCACCCGGGGUCCAAAAAGGAGAAUUCCGGAAUGCCUGCCGACGUUCAGAUAAAGUGCAUAUCCCUUACUACUAAAGGAAAGGCUCGACGAAGGGGGGGGAUUUUCCGGGUAAGGAAAAUGCUUUCGGAGAUUGAGAUGUCGAUUUGUUUUUCAUCGAAAAGGAAGAAGGCCGAGGGGAUAGCUGCCUUCCUUCGGGCUUUGCCUGCCGACAUUCUAAUAAAGAAUUCCGGCUCGGCCCGGGAAAGCGCUGGCAACAACAUAAAGAAAGGGGUCCAUGUAGCUGCUGCGCCCGCCCACUGAGCAGCAGGUUCGGCAUCUACUACAAAAGAGAGAAUCCACUUCAGAUAACCACGCCUCUGCUAGGCAGCGUGUGGAAUGGCCGGGAGCGGACCAAAUGGAUAUAUAAUCCAAGCCGAGAGUGGAGUUACGUGAACAGCCGUCUGAUGGAAAACAACUUUCGACUAGGAAAAUGAAGACAAAGGAAUUUGGAAUUACAAGACGGAUAUCAGCUUGCUACUUCUGACUUUGACUUUCAAUAGGGAGGUCAAAAACUAGCACUUUUUUCGAGGAGUGAUCAUGGUUGAUGUCUACUUGCCGGGCUGCCCACCUAAACCGGAGGCGGUUAUAGAUGCCCUAACAAAACUUCAUAAGAAGAUAUCGCGAGAAAUAGUUGAGGAUCGAACUCUAUCUCAAAAGAGAAAUCGAUGUUUUACUACUAGUCACAAGCUUUAUGUUCGGCGCAGUACUCAUACUGGAACUUACGAGCAAGAAUUGCUCUAUCAAUCACCAUCUACUUUAGACAUAUCUUCUUCAACUUUUUGAAAAUCCAAAAGUCCAGUAUCUUCCUACAAAUUAGUGAAUUUGCAGCAUUCUGAAUUCAUAAUUCGAACUGAUCAGCACAGUCUCGUGCAUUUAGAAGAUCAACGACUACACCUUGGCAGCAGAAGGCCUUCACUAAGUUUCUUGGACUUCAAUACCGACGCAAGGGAGCCAAGAAUGGAGCAGCUGAUGCUUUGUCCCGACGCAGCCAUAGAGUCGAUCUUGCAGAUAGGCGGAGGUAUGAUUGCUUGCUCCUUGCAUGUGAAGGUGGGAAACAAGGAAACAGCAGAAAUGCUUACUGGGACAUAGCCUUCGGUACGAGUUGAAGGGAAGAGGAUUGCUUGGAACCUCUAAGACAUGGCACCCCUGCCCCUUCCCGGCUACUGGAUCACUCCAGUGCUUCGGGUACUACGGACCCUCUGCCAUCCAUUGCAGCAGAGCCGUUUCAUGAGCGGGGGGGCUAAGCGCAGUUCUUUGAAUCAAAGGUUUUAUGAAAUCGAAAUUGAUUCUUUUUUAGAUAUCUGGAUAGAUGGAUGGGGCCUGGGAGUGAAUGUGGAAGCUUAACACUAGCAACGGGCAGAACAGUUGGUAAAGGAGAUCAUUGGCACUAUGGCGCAUGUAUGUUGAGUUCUUGAAGCAUUGCCGAUAUCGAUAUAUAUUUCUUUGCAUGGGACAGUAGCCUUUUCUGCGGCGGAUCGUUUCCUUUUCUCCAAUCAUAAAUAACCUGAUCUCUUUCUUUGUCUUUCAUCAAAUAAGUACAAGAAUUGCAUAGAUGAGGAUUCGGUAUUGAUCGCUAAAAUGCGAGAAAAAGACCCACGUUUCUCUGUUCGUCCGCUAUCAGAUCAAAACGGGUAGAAGCAGCUUGUUCUUUCGCGCUAGUGCGCUCAAUCCGUUGCUUGUUCCUUUCCUUUGGAUUUAUUAUCAUAAUAGCGUAGACAAAAGGUAGGACCAGAUCAUGCGAAGAACUCUUCGCCCUAUUGAUUAGGAAUCUCGAUUAGAAACCACCAGGCCAUGUCUCCCGAUAAAAGAUGAUCCCCACAAUGGAUGUCAGGCCUUGGCUUCAUAAAAUCUGAUUGGAUCCGCACUAGAGGAUAAGAAUACAGAUAGGCUGACUUAGAAGAUCUUAAAAUUGGCGUAGACAAAAGGUAGGACCAGAUCAUGCGAAGAACUCUUCGCCCUAUUGAUUAGGAAUCUCGAUCAGAAACCACCAGCCUCGAAUGGAGCAUUACGAGUGCAUGAUUGAGUUGUUUAGUAAGCAUGGUUGAUUUUUAAUCAUUUUUUUCCACCUUAAGGGCCCCAGAAACUUCUAGUUAUUCUCCAGUAGGAAAGGUUCUAGUGACAUUGCUGCUAUUGCUGGAAGUCCCGCAGCUUACUGCUCACGGAAACAUCCGACCUUAUGGUCAAGUCGUCCGCCUAUCUUUCUGAUCUCAUUCGUUUGUAGAUCGCAUAAAAAGCUCUUCGUUGUCUGAGAGGGCAGAAGGCAUCAGACUUGUAGUCUAAAUGCUGUGUAUCUGACAUACUUCAUUCUCUGUGCAGGGUACGAUUUCACUAUGGACAUCCUGAUGUGUUCGACAGGAUUUUUAUCUGGUGACUCCCUUCCCCCUUUUUUCCCAGAAUGAAUUCGCCCGACGCGACGAAUCCUGCCCUCCUGUCUUUCUUUCUCAUUGGCCCCGCUGCCGCUACUGCUCGAAAGCAUGACAGCUCCGCUUCCUCGUCUUGCUUCUACUUUGCUUGUUUGCGCGAAGGCUUAGAGUCCUUUUCGCUAGGUCCAAAUUCGUCAAAGUCGCCACGACGACUCUCCGUCGUGGAAUUAGACCAAGGGUCGAAGACCUAUACCAUAGGACCCCGUCCGAUUUCAGAGCCCACUUUAUUAAAAACUUCGAUUUGAAGCCGAGAACCCACCUAAAAACAAUCAUUUGACUAAAAAAUUCGUUGGAUAGGUGCAUCACGAAAUCGGUACUCAAUCCCUUGCUUGUUCGUGGGAUGGGAGUAUCUCCUAUUAGCGAUGCUCAGAUUUCAAUGGAAGGAAGAUAGUUAUUCCAAUCACUUUUCUCGAUAGGCAGGGCGGGACUCAAGAAACCUGCGUACGGCAGGGCUAGGUUACCAGCGUACGGGCAAGAGAAAUUUUAUCUUCUCGUCAGGUCAUUAGAGGCUCCUCUGGAGGCCAUACAAGAAGGAUCCUUAAUUCAUUGCAAGGCAUUCUCCAAUCCCCAUUCACACUCUCCUUAUUCAUACAUCAGUUCAGCUACAACAAAGAAGAUAUCCUCCCAUUGGUUAGUUGGCUCCCUGUAUGGUUGGUACCUGCUUUCCCGUAAGUCUGUACGGAGAAUCAAUAAAGGCAUCCGCAGUGGAAUCAAACUCAUAAGGGACAGGAUCACCACCAUUCGGUAGACCAAACACCCUAUGAACACUGCCGGCAUGAGAUAUGAGUCGUUAGAGCACAUAUCUCCGUGAUCCCUUCCACAGCUAAACGUAGAUCUCUAUCUUGUAGUGGAGUGUAGAGUAAAGAUAUACCGGAGCGGAGUGCAAGAAGGUUAUAGGGGAGUGUGGCGCCCGCUUGCCCGCCUUUCGUCUCGGUUGAAAAACAAAACCGUUGCUUGCUUUGUGGCCCUAUCGCUUAAGGUUCCUUUUGAGUACGAUCAUAUUAGUGAGAUGAGGCAUAUCUAGAUCCAUCUGAAUCGAACACCCAAACUCAUACCUAGAUUAUAGGAGAGAUCGACAUCUAUAUCAGGGUACACCCAUCUUUCCAAUCAAUUAAAGAAUCGGUGGGUACUAGACUAGAGCCAGGAAUCGAAAGAGAAAUAAAUCGGGAACUUCAGUACUGCAGGCUGAGGACAGUGGUUAAAGAGAGUCAGGGAAUUAUUGGUAGCAUCAAGUUUUUUCUUCUAAUUUCUACUAUUUCUUCCAGGAUCAAAAAUAUUUUACUUGGUUGAGCUUUGUCAACAGAUUGGCAGUGAAAUAGAAACUUUUCUAUGGUGAAAUAUUAGAGAAUAACUAUAUAAAAUAAAAAAUAUCUCUUUGAGAUUUCCCCGCUGGCGCUCGCUCAAUCCGUUCACCAGGGUUCCUUUCCUUUCCUUUACGGUCGAGCUACUUCUCGUUCAUCAUCAAGUGGUUUCAAUUAUAAGAAUAAUUAUACUAGUGAACUAACAAUUUGGCUUUUCAAAGUUCGUUUAAGAAAAUGCAAUGAAAUGUUUAGCAUCUAGUUUAGUGGGUGCUUGCCUAUGGUUCCAUUUAUUAAUUAAUCAAACCAUUUCCUUUUCAUGCCAUCCAUCGAAUUUAAACUUUAUCGUUAUCAUUGGCUGGAAUGAGAAUAGCUGCAGGAUCCAGAUCACCAUUUGUUGUAUCAUAGUUGGAAUGGCUAAAAUAAGACAUUCUUGAAGAGCUAUAUAUUAUUUUUGCUGAUCAAUGAUGAGCACAAUAUCAGGUAACCCUUUUGGAAUGAAAAACUAUGACUUCGUAGUUUUCGUUAGUAGAAACCUAAUUCAUUAAAAUUCCGUCCAGUAAAACGGAAGAAUUAUAAAUUUCUAAAAUAAUAGAUAGGAAUACCGCGAAUAAAGCCAUUGCGACCCCCAUAAAAGGAGUAGUCCCCCAACCCGGAGCUACUUUCCCAUAUUCCGAAUUAAUUGAUCAUAACGAUAUCGUGGAAAUGCUGCACGGACCCAUAUAUAUAGAAACAGAAAAAGAAGAACCUUGAUACUAAACCAGAUCGAACAAGGGAUCUUCUUGGAAAUGGGAAGAUCUAGGAUAGGCGGCCAACCUCCUAGAAAGAGCGAUGUGCAUAGACCGGGUGAGUAGGGAUGCAGCUCCGUGGACCGCUCGUCGGGCCUGAUAGGUGGUGGUAUCACACCCUUCUCCAAGGAACCGUACGUGAGACUCUCGCCUCAUACGGCUGCGUCCUGGAAUCUGGACAGUUUUGUCUUUUGUGCCGAAGCUAUUUAUAAAGCACAGGCCGAAACCGGUGAAAUUAAGGGGCAUUACUUGAAUGCGACUGCAGGUACAUGCGAAGAAAUGAUUAAGAGAGCUGUAUUUGCGAGGGAAUUAGGGGUUCCUAUUGUAAUGCAUGACUACUUAACCGGGGGAUUCACCGCAAAUACUAGUUUGGCUCAUUAUUGCCGCGACAACGGCCUACUUCUUCACAUUCACCGAGCAAUGCAUGCAGUUAUUGAUAGACAGAAUAAUCAUGGUAUGCAUUUCCGUGUAUUAGCUAAAGCAUUGCGUAUGUCUGGGGGAGAUCAUAUCCACGCUGGUACAGUAGUAGGUAAGUUAGAAGGGGAACGCGAAAUGACUUUAGGUUUUGUUGAUUUAUUGCGCGAUGAUUUUAUUGAAAAGAUCGUGCUCGCGGUAUCUUUUUCACUCAGGACUGGGUAUCCAUGCCACGAAGCAGCUUCUCUAAUAACCCCGUUGAAUAGGAGGGCGAAGGCUUUUUCGAACUUAUUUAUAGAGGGGGGCUUCGACCUUCUUAGGAAGAGCCGUACGAGGCUGCUCACAUACGGUUCGGGAGCCGAGCCACGAGUCCAAUUUGAAGUUGUUGAUGUUUAUAUUGGUCAAUCAUAAAAUAGAAAUAAGAAAAGAAUUUAUAUUUAUUCUGAUCAAACUUCUUCCCUAUUAACCUGGAAGUUCUUCUGAGAUACAAGGAAAUGGUUCGUUUUUUUGCUUUUUAGCAGUAAUCAGAAAGUUAGCUCUUUUUCCAGACCAGUGGCCUUGGAGUUCAUCCCCGUCCUCUGCCAGGUGAGAAGGAAGAUGAGAGAUAUGUUCCUUAGAAGUCGUCUUCAACUUUCUUCCAGGAAAGCCUUUCACCGAGUGAGCAGCAGUAAGAAAGGGUUUAGCUAAUGGAGAAAUUGACUCUUCCGAGAACCAGUAACGCGUAAACCAUGUCAAACCAAGACCGAUCAAUAUCCGAACGGAACGGAUAUACCAGUAGUAGAGUGGCUUGAAUCAAAUCGUUUGUCUAGAGGGAGUGUAGCGAUAACCAAAGCUGACUGUACUAGAAACUUUAGAUCCUGUCCGCUCAUAGCACGAUGGAAUUGCGCAAUUGUAGCCCGACGCGCUGCUUCAAUGGCUCGAUAUGAAAGACGACCAGCUCUACAACUUUUGGCCGGCAAAGAAAACCAACACUUAAGACGCUAUUGGAGACUAGCGUAGCUAUUAUUCGAAGCUUAUUAAUUUCUUUACUGCGUUCAAGGCAUGACCGCGUGAUAGGUGUCCUUUUCCCCCUACUCAAGAAGAGUUACAUCUAAGUUCCGAUCGUAAUAUGACAAACAAAUCUUACUUUUUCUUUCCCAAGCUGGCGCGGCUCGGCAAAAGUUGGUUCACUGACCAAAGACGACUUCUUUGUUCUUCAGUAGUUUCCUCCUUGACUAAGCACAUGCUUAAAGAUUUAAGUUCUAAAUAAUUCUAGGUAGCAUAUAAGAACGAGACCUAAGCUAUAAGCCCUAUAAAAGACUGUGCUGAUCGCGCAACUGAUCAUAUCCAGCGACCAAGCAGAUCAACUAGAAGGUCAUAUGUCCACCCGCCCUUUCCUUUGAGAAAUCCUAUUCCUAUCGAUUUAGCUGCAUAGGCAAUACGACAUUACUAUGAAUAAAUGACGAGCGAAUGGUGGCAGUACCAAAUGCCGAAUUAGCGGCUGUACCAAAUGAUCAAUGCCUCUGGGGUUUCCCUUCUCUUCAGCCCUUUUGCUCUUCUAACAACAAUGGUGAACGGCCAUUUGUCAAGGCCCCGGAAUCCGCUGGACAUCCCAGCGGCGGGAUUCGAUACCCGCAUCAGAUCGAAGUGCGGGCUCACUGAAAACCAAACUGUUCGUAUUUCUUUAAAACGCUGCUGCCCUAGCCGGGGGUCUGUCUAUAGAAGAAGGGAAUCCAGAGGAAGAAGCAGCUCCCCGAAGGGUUACCGAAAACUUUGUGAAAAUACUUCUACGAGAAGGUUUUAUUGAAAACGUUCGAAAACCAUAGGGAAAGUAACAAAUCUUUCUUGGCACGUGCCCCUGCUCCUGGUCUUCGAACUAGUCAUUAAUGGUCGGCAACAUAGGUACCCUUUUUCAGUAUGCGUUGCGAACACUUUCAUUUUUAGCGUCUCAUCUUCUCUGGAGAAGCUCAAAUCGGCUUGGGUGCAUCAAAACUUGCAAUACGAAGAUCCCUUUCAGAUCAGCAGGAGGAGCAGGUUGCACCACUGGUUGGGGAGGAAUUCGCGCAGCGGUUUCGAAGACUGAAGCACUUCUUGCAAGUAUCAACAGGUCAGAAUGCCAAAUAAGAGUUUCUUGUGGUCGAAAUCAAAUGGUAACCAGUUUGAGGGGUGAUUGAUCACUAAGCGACAUAUGGCACGAAAAGGAAAUCCAAUUUCGGUAAGACUUGAUCUGAAUCGUAGUUCAGAUCCAAGUCGGUUCAGUGAGGGCGCCCCGACCCAUGUUCAAUCACUGAAGUGUGGUUGAGUGAGAUGAUCCGCAACCAACAAAUGAUUUGUCAUUGUCUCUAAAUCACUGAAUGAAUUCGUUUUUUAUUUAUAUAUGAGAACUAGAGAGUUCACUAGCGCAGAAGGGGAGACCAGAAAAUGCCUUUUGUUUUCCCCCCUUCAGCGGCCCUAGCCGCCUUCGUUAACGAGCCCUCGAGCCUCCUUUGCGCCGCCUUCCUCAUAGAAGCCGUUGGGUUGACCCCGAGGGCCGAAUUCAAUGGUAGAGAAGGCUUUAAUAAGAAUUUGGCCAUGAGGAUAGGCUGGCCCUUACGUAAGGACUAUAUAACACCCAAUUUCUAUGAAAUACAAGAUGCUCAUUGAAUGAUAAGAAAUUCAUGCUCACUUAUACAACACAACUCCUGAUUUUAUUCAAGUCAUUUUUUGAGCAACUAACGCGAAAGCCGUUGCGCGUUAGCGCAUUCGGAACCACACAUUUUUAUACGAUUUUCGGAUCAUUUGAUUUUCAUUUUGAAAACUUUAAAACCUUAUCAGAGAGGGGCCACUAAGGCUGGAUGUUGGCUUCAAGAAAUCUCCUUUAGCAGAUCUCUAGACAGAUGGAUCUUAUAUGAAUCGUAUGAUGAAGUACCACAUGAGUGGAUAUAUAGGAAAGGAAUCCAAAUCUGCCGAAUCGCUCAUGUUAUGAUCUUCUACAUCCAAGGUCUCCGCGUAUCUAUAGCACUAUUCCUCAAUCCACCCGAAGUUAGAGCUAGGCUCAUCGGGCUCGCUUCUCAAUACAAUGCCUUUACCACUGAUUGUUAAUAGAGGCUUCUCAGAAGAAGAACAACAAAAAGUUGUUUCGAAAAAUUCAAGUACCGGCCACACUUCAGUAUCCAUAGAUAUAGAUAGGGCGGAGGCCUUACUACACGAGCUCGUAAGUCAAGCACGGAACGAGCCUUGUCUACGAAGCUUCGCUUCAUCAUCUUGCUUGCUUCUGGCGAAGCUUAACGCACUAUAGUCAGUGAUCUUUUCCAAGGUGUCUAGAGAAACCUGCUUUGAAAAUGUCAUUCGUACCCAAGGAAAGUUUUGGCAGGCAUUACUGUGAUCUUGAAGCCCUUGCUAGGAGCUAGUCGGUACGGCUCACUACUAAAGAAGGUUCUGGCAUGCUUCGAACCGUCUACUUUUCCUUAUCCUUAUGGGAAUUUAAGAGAGAGAUCACUCCACUGAGUAACCGAGAGAGAAGAUUCAGGCAAGUAUGCCGUGCCCUAUUUAAAAUAGAGGCAACGAACGGAGCGUCCCAUCGACUUUACUUUGGCCAAUGAGACUACUAUACGCGUUUUCCGAGGAGCAACAUGAUACUUUCUUUUCCGAGACAACAGAGUUUAGAAAGAUGGAAGCAAAUCAAAGCUAAGGGAAUCUUACUCGACCGAGAGGAAGCGAAGCGCAGACUGGAAAGCAGGAGUUCAGUGAAGUAUGCCUUAGCUAGUUCAAAUACAAAUCUCCCUUUUCUUCAUUUUUGCAUUUCUUAUUCCGCUAUUCCGAAUAUCGCAAAAAUAAAUUAGACAAUAAAUAGAGAAAAGUGCUCACCCCUCCUUUCUCAGUGAGAAGAAUAUUCCCACAUAUACAUGCGGAAGUCGGUCGAGAGCACAGAGCCGGCAGGAGUACUUUGCAAGUGCACCAAUGCCAAAGCUGGACCUUCCUGUUUUUGCUGGUAGCAACCCAGGUGUACCAGGUUUGGGUCAUCGAUAUGGAAGCAGCUAGCUCACUUUCGUUAAAAGCAAAGAUGAUUAUCCACCGUUAGUUAGUAAUGUGGGUUGGCUUGGAUUACUUAGUGUUGCGCGCCUAGGAGGGCAGCGCGCUUGGGGUGCGGAGGAGCUAUUAUCGCCCAGCUCCCUAACCUAAUGCGGCGCGGAUAAUGGUUUGGUAUGUAAGUACUAUAGUUUGGUAGGUUUGAAUUGUGUGGCCAGGGGUAUUGGUUACGAUUCCAGUGGUCUUCAGGCGAGUUGACAAAACUACCCCUAUGCGCAAAAAAUGAAGCUGAUGUGGUUGUUUUGAAUCCAAGAGUGGUGAGUCCAAUCUGUAACUCCAAUUUCCAAUACUGAAAAGCCAAGCCUACUAUUCUUUUUACCGGCGCUUCACGACUUACCACAAAACUAGAGCCGGCGGCAUAAGAUGAAGCCCUAGACAUUCUGCCUGUCUGCUUAGACUCUUUCUAAGUAAGAGAGAGCUCGUUCUAGCUUUGUCAAUCGUGGAAUGAGCAGCUCCAUCCUUACUGUCCUGGUGAAUUAAUUGGGUAAUUAAUGAGCACACUGACUCGGACGGAUUUCAAAUUCCUUUUUCCUUCCUUUUUACGCCACCUCCACCCAAUCCUUGAAGAUAUGAAGCAAUCUUUUAUUAAGACUAAGUGAAGGUUGGUAUGGCCCAAUCCGGAAUCUCGAUCAGAAACCACCAGGCCAUGUCUCCCGAUAAAAGAUGAUCCCCACAAUGGAUGUCAGGCCUUGGCUUCAUAAAAUCUGAUUGGAUCCGCACUAGAGGAUAAGAAUAUAGAUAGGCUGACUAAGAAGAUCUUAAAAUUGUCUUACCUGAAAAGAUGAGUUAUUCAAAGGAAUACCUGAAGAAUAGAAUAAACACAUGGCACAGCGGGCGGGGGACUUGAAAUCCUCUUUAGCUUUGCGCGUUGGACUCUAAAUCCUAACAGAGUGGUUCGAUUCCACCUCAGAACGACCUUCACGAAAGUGAAAAAUCUUCGUCCUACCAAAACUGGAUCUUGAAAAGUGUUCAGUGCCCAACAAGCAACGGGUUGAGCGCACUAGCGCGAAAGCGUUAGCACGCGCAUCCGUUUUCUUGCUUGCCUUGCGAAUUUGCAAAGGACUAACGAGAUUGUUUCUAUCGCCAAGAUGAGCCGCUUCGGGCUCAGGAGACUAUGGUGGUCUAUGAUCUAAUAACUGGUGGUGAGACUGCGGCUCAAGUCCACGUCGUGAGAAAGACUGAGCUAUUCUGUACUUUUCUAACCCUUUGAAGGAUGAAGAUGGCGAAGGAGUAUUGAAAAGAAUGAAUCCGGGUUUUAGCGCUCCUUGAAUCUGGCCUAUACGUAGUGUAAGCCGCCUGCGGCUGCUAAAGGCAAGGUAUGAGGGUGAAAGUAAGCGAAGCCGAAGAUGUGUAUGGUGAGUCGAUACUAAAGCAAUCCCGGAAUUUUUCAUUGGAUGGCAGUAAAGAGUCUCCUUCCCGAACCUGAUAUGCGAACAAACAGGGUUAGCGGAAACAGGAAAUGUAGUAAUUCGAGUAAGUCCAACCUUCAAGGAAGAAGGAAGGCAAUCCGUCGCUUGUUCGUUGCAAGUUCUUAUUGCUCCGGAUCCCCGUUUACUAGGAAGAUAAGAAUCAAAAGGAUCGAACUACCUACUCAUUAUUCGGAGAUGAAUCAUAGAACACUAAUCCUGCUUUUAGUACAUUGCUUUUCGUAUCAUCUAUGAGAAUUCUCGUUUCAGAAACUCCUCAAUAUUGUCGUUAUGGCAAUUCUAACCAUGUAGAUUUUAUUACCAAAUUGUAGUUUUUUCUUUUGCCAAUUCCACGCCUCUGUAAAAAAAUGCCUAAAAGGGAGGGCGAGAGUUGAAGUGGAUGGCCCUUCUAUCACCUGAAAGGCUGAAACUCAGGCAUGGCUUUACAUGGCACACAUGCUUUCUUUCAGGCUGUUUUGGCUCGCAAUAAAGCUAGGGUCCUGAUCGAGCAAGACUGCCCCUGUCGGUCCCGAUCAGUCCCAUUGACCGUGAAGCCUGCUCUCGAUUUGUAGUCCCCGUGCAUGAAGUCAGUGGAUUCGAGUGAACUGACCGUACUACAAAUCGACAUACUUGAGAAAGCUUCUUACUAAACCAAAGAAAGGGCAGCUCCAGUUGUGUUGUCGAUUCCCUUCUCCCGAGAGCUUUCACACUCUGGGAUGGGAGUCCCUUCCAAGACUUGACCAAAAGCUUAUCUCUUGAAUCCCAGAGAUAAGAGCGACAACCAGGCGUACCUCAUCUUUCCCUAUUGAAGCAAAACCAGUGGUUUCUUGGUCACGACCAGCUAAAACAAAAGUUCCAUUAAAGAGAGUUUCCACGUGGUAGUAAUAGACGACCAUUUCGCGCGGUUCGGGGGCACUUGAAUAAGCCGCCGGCCCCCGGCUGCGUCUUUACCCCUAUCCAAUUUUCCUCCCAAUCGAAUUGUUAAGUAUGUUUUUUCCCUUUCGAGAAAUGGUGGCAGUACCAAAUGCCGAAUUAGCGGCUGUACCAAAUGAUCCUGGAUAGAGUCUCGCUCAUAAAGGAAGAGGAGCGCGCUAGCGCGGCUCGCUUCGCUUUUCGACGCGGAGCUCGCUGCUGUUGAAGCCUGCUUCUGGUUCUGAAUCACAAGCAAGCCUAAUAAGAGUUUCUUUUCAUCUUACAUGAGUUGGCAAGGAGUUGUUCUUGGCAGAUCUCUCCCCUGCUUUAUUGCGAGCCUUGACAGGUUACAUUGGCAGAAAUAUGGAAACUUCUCUUGGCAGGUUAUAUGGAAACUUCUCUUGGCAUAUGACUUCCAUCUUUCUAUGGAUUUUCUGGUUCUGAAUCACAAGAACCUCAUCCCGGCAGCGAGACUGCGUUCACUCGAAACAAAAAUAGACGAGUACUAUGGUAGGAACGCUUCAACUGCAGAGCCCUGAAUGCGUUAGUGAGGUUCCCUCUAUGAGAGAAAGAGAGGUUGGUGAACCGGCGGAUCCGUUUGCAACUCCUCUGGAAAUAUUACCCGAGUGGUACUUCUUUCCCGUGUUUCAAAUACUCCGUACAGUACCUAAUAAGUUAUUGGGCAUUCUCUUAAUGGUUUCUGUGCCGACGGGCUUAUUGACAGUACCUUUUCUAGAGAAUGUCAAUAAAUUCCAAAAUCCGUUUUUCAACUGGCUCUAAUGCAAAUUUAUAAAAUAAAGAAGAGUUCCGUCAAGCGUCGUAUUAGCUUUGUUUGUUCAGAGCUAUGUACCAUGAUCUUCCCUUCCCCCGGCACAAUGUUUGAUGCUUCUUGGGGCUUCUUUGGCGACCGUGAAGUCACCGGAUGAAUUGCCGAGUAGAUAGAUCAGAUCCGGAUGCUGCAGUUGUUCCGCGGUGAUACGGACUCGACCCGCGGACGACAAUAGUCUUUCUCUUUUUUCACUCGAGCCAUACCGAUGCUUUGGACUCCUUGAUGCCAAGGGAGGUUUAUGAGUUGUAUCCUCCUUACGAGAUAGCGGAAGUAGCAUUAGCAGGAAAAGUAAGCUCCUUUUCAAGCCUUCUCUUUCGUAACCUUUGAUUAGUUCCUUGGAUGCCCUUAGCAAGAAUGAUGCAGGAGCAAUACCAAAGUGUUUCAAUGAAGGAUUACCUUGACUUAGGUCUGCCUCCGGCCUAAAUUAAAUCAACCUAAGUUAAAUGGAGUCUCUAUCGUUCUGCUGCAAGAGUGGAAUAUGAGACUUCAUACACCUUAAAGUUUAUAGAACGAAAAGAAUUUUUUUGGAGGUCCUCAUUACGCCUAGCAUUUAGUGGGCUGGAUAUUUACCUUUGAAACUAGCAAAUCAAUAAGGGUUCUAUUUGAUUAGGCACCUGAAUCGGACUGAACCUGGAUCCAAUUUUAAGGACAAAUCCUGAUGUUGGUAAAAUAUACGUGUAGAUCAAGGCCAAGGACAAUGAAGCAGCCCUCCCCUUGUAGCUGGGGUAGACUGGUAGUAGUUUCACCUAUAAAAUUUUGCAUUUGUGGAAUGUAGGUUGGAACUACCUGUUCCGGGAUUGUAGAAAGGAAGGGCUCCACAGUUGAAACUACCUGUUCUGGCAUUUCCGAAAGGAAAGGCAGGACAGCUAAAAAUAAUUCGCUGUCAGCCGCAGUAUAGAUACUUCGAGUUUUGGUAACUCUGGAAGUAGCGCUACAGAUUGAAGUUUUUCUGCACCCGAUUAUCAGUUCUCGUCGACCACCGUGACGUCACCUAGCUUUAUUCUAAAUUUAUCAUUCUAUCGGUAUGUAUAGUGUCUUUCAUCUGCUUUUUCAUUCAUUCUGCCCACAGCCCUCCACAAACUUUGGUAACUCCAACUUCAACCUCGAUUUUAUUAAUAACUACUUACGAGACCUUCUUUGGUACAUAUCCCUUAUCUCAAGUUUUUGAUCAAACCAAUCCAUUGACACAAACGUAUGCUGCCUUGCCUGAUCUUACUAGAGUGAGUUUCCUUCGCUAACGAGAUGAUGCAUAUUCUCACUCUGGACUAUUCCCAGAUUUACAACCAACAACUAGUCUUAUCUCAUGGGCGUAAAAAGACAUCAUAGAUAACAACUAAUUCUCAUAAAGUUCUUUCGGUUCAAGGGAGGGUUACUUACAAGUGGAGUCUGGCGAGGAUCUUUUGUUUCCUUAAGAACAAUCCUAAUCACAUAUCCAAACCAAAGAAGAUGAUAUUUAUUUGAUAAAGCGCAUUCUAUUAUCGUAUUGCGACACUGCUCCUAUCCCUAACGCUAGCUCUGUUGACUUCAUUCCUUGUCGGUCUAUGGCACUCAUUUAGAUCAAUAAAAGGCCGCUUUACAACCAGGGCGGGUCUCGCUGCCGGAUCAAUGCGCAGGACGCACGAUCUACAAACAACAAUAGAGAGAGCCAACCAAGAACGAAAGAACCUGGAAACAAACCCGCGAGCGAAUACCAAACAGAGUAAGAAGGAGGAAGGGCCGAAGGCGUUGGCAUCCAACAAUGUUGGAUGAGUGGAACAGAAAGGAAUGGCACGGAAAGGGUUUUAGGGAACUAGAAUAAAGAUAAUUAGUUUUCAUAUUUUUCAAUAUAAAUAUGAAUUUAUUACGAAUAGGAAUUAUGAAUUGGUACUAUUAGUAGGGAAGGAAGGGCUUCCUCCCCUCUUCUUCCAAAGCAUACGGCUUUCUAGAUGUAUAUGACGAUCUCUAGACAGAUGGAUCUUAUAUGAAUCGUAUGAUGAAGUACCACAUGAGUGGAGGGAAGGUAUAGUUGAAGGUAUGAGGAUGAGGAUUAGAAUUUCAUUCCAUUGCUUUGUUAGAGGGAGAGGAAGCUUCGAUUGGGGGAUACAAUAAUUCCAAUCUUCUGCACGAUCCUUUGGAGCCGGGGGUUGGAUAAAACACAGAACUAAAUCGACUUCCUUACCAGCAUGUCUGGGAUUCCUGUGGUUCUUACUGCCCCGGUGAAUGUGUAGGUACGAAUGACUAUCAAAGAAAGUGAGACCUGGAAUUCCUCCUUCUAUGCCUCCUCAUCUGUCUCGCCUGCAAAUCCUGCUAACAGCCUAGUCUAUUAGGAAACAGCUGAUUCAAUUGCUAAAACUGCUGUUUGAGAAGGGACUAACGGCACUGGCUCUUUCAAGUCUUUCGUGCGGGUAUACGUUGAGCUAGUCCUCUUACUCCUUUUCUUAGCUCUUUUAGAAAAAAUCUUAUUUUUCAUCGUGUCAGGUCUUGGAUGUAGACUCGGCUAUGGUAGGAUCGACCUAAUUGUGAUCAUUCUCCGCUUCGUUCGCUGAUCUCUUGCUAUUGCUGCAGUCCAUGGUCCGGUAUGGAAUGAACUUAUAAUCUGAUGAUCGAGUCGAUUCCAUGAUUAUAAGUUCAUUACCCUAGCGCCCAUUCCCAUUUUGGGCUGUUACGCCAGAAAUCCAAGGUUCCACACGAGCUCCUGUUCUGCGGCGUGGUGGCAGGACCGCUAGGGGAUUGGCUCCGGGUGUAGGUAGGGUCAAAUCCGCAGGGGUCAUGCAAAUACAUAGGCCCCUUCCCUUCUGCCGAGUUGUUUAGAAGGCGCUUUCCGUUCUACGGUCCCUCGGAGCGAAGGGUUAGGCAGGUAGUACGGGCCCUCUGACUUCCAGCUAUGCGCUGUGUGCGACUCCCGCGAAGCGAAUGAAGGGAAGCUCUUCGAGCUUUCUCCGCCUACUGACUCACUUUUAGGACAUAUUUGUACAUCUUUUGUCUCUAUCCUAGUCAACUGGUACGCAUGGCGUAAAUAAAGAUGACCCGACCACCCCUGUUCACCUUCCUCAAACCCAAUUCAAAUGAUGGCUGUGAAAGUCAGAAUCCUGAUGUCUCCAUUGACAAUAUCGACACCAAACCUUCUCGUAAUUCACAAUGCCAGAAUUUGGCUUAGCUGGAUUUGCGGAUGGCGGGGAAUUCAUUGACUAACUUGGCCUUGAUUGAUGAUCCAUCAACUCGUGGCUUUACAUUGAGAACAAAGCUUUGCUGACCCUUGCUAGGCUCAAGUCAAUUUAUCAAGUUUAGGCAUUUCGAUUUGGAUUUAAAAUAAAACCUUCAAGACAGAAAAAGACUCCCUUUUCUUCCUAUUGAUCUUGACGUCGGAAAUGGUUGGUUUUAAUGCUCGCACAGACGAAAUAGAACACCGGAUUGGACCUUAGCCGCUCGGGAAUAGAAUCCUUCACCACCCCAUUGGAAAAGUUGAUCUUCUAAAUUCAUAUGUUUAGCCUAAAGUACAUAACUUGUGUUCCUCCCUAGUUCUUGCCAUGCCACCUAAUCAAGCCUCACCUCAUUUGUAGUUAUAACAUGUUCAGCUGAAAGCAAACUAAAAAAAAAAGGCACUCCUCAGCGAGGACGCGGGUUUUAAAGUAGGUUCUACACAUUCGAGAAGACCCAGGCGGAUUGGAGUGGUUGUGCGCCGGGGCAAUCUCUGCUUGCGUUUUCCAAUAAGUUCUAUUGCUUUGACACAUUUAGUAUAUAACUGAAUAGAAAACGGAAUAAAAGCGGAUAAGAUAGCGUAUUAGGCCGACAAGUAGGAAGCAUAGCGGGGACAAGUUAUUACCGGUUUGAGGGGACAAUGGUUUUCUAGGUUGUUUCACCAAUCUGUUGAAUUGGAAUGGAGCUCACGACCGUGAAACCCCUCGUUGUUUGAUGGCACCUAUCUUGUUCCCUUCAGGGAGAAAUACUACUCACUUUUCCUCUAUCAAAAAGCCAAUACCGACGCUCGCUUAUCAGCUUACCAGUUCAAACCUCCUUGCUCUGCCUUUUAUACCAGAUGCCUCCUCUCUUAAACCAAGGCAUACUCUACUGGCUUUCCUUCUCUAAACUAUUCUUUAUCUGCUAUCUAUGCUAUUCCAUGCAUACUUGAGCUACAGCCUUUUUCAACCUUUUGAACU
rnacentral:lncRNA from 1 species